UCUGCCUCCAGAGUGUUGCAGGUGUGGCUGCUGUGUCACAUGUGCAUCAGUAGGUGGCAGUACGAGGAGAGAAGUUACACUUCUGACCUAUGAACAUCUGAAUGACUAGAUUAGUAGCCUAACCUU